rnacentral:rRNA from 1 species
GACGUAGGGCGCGAGCGUUUGUCCGGAUUUAUUGGGCGUAAAGAGCUCGUAGGCGGCUUGUCGCGUCGACUGUGAAAUCCCGCGGCUCAACUGCGGGUCUGCAGUCGAUACGGGCAGGCUAGAGUCCGGUAGGGGAGUGUGGAAUUCCCGGUGUAGCGGUGAAAUGCGCAGAUAUCGGGAGGAACACCAGUAGCGAAGGCGGCACUCUGGGCCGGUACUGACGCUGAGGAGCGAAAGCGUGGGGAGCAAACAGG